CAAAACCUCUGGUCGCGGUGACUGACCCAGAUUGGAUCUGGCAACAUUCUCCUAGGACACAUAUAUUCACCUUCUUUUAUGAUUUCUUGC